UCCACACACACACAUACACACACACACACAUGUAGCUACAGCCCAAACUGUAUAAGGGGUUUAUCUAGCUCUGUAAAGCCAAAGCAGGAGAUAUAAAGACACACACAGAGCCACAGAGAGUAUUUUACCGGCGUGUUUGAACGUUUCCAAAUCUCAGAAUAAAAUGUCUUCACCUGCUGAGGUGUGUGUGGCUGUCUCAGUGUGUGGGAGGCCUUCCAGUGUGCGCGCUGUUCACGGUUUGGAUACGGUGGACUCUUCAGUUGCUCACCGCAUCCAGGUACGCCUGUGUGUUUGUUUGUAUGUCUAGCUGUUAUUGUCAGUUGUUGUUGGGUAGUUUAUACACAGCUAACUGCUAGCAGGAUAGCUAAAUGAGCUAAAUGUGGGGAGUCCGAGGACAAGACUGUCUCGAGACCUCCAGCUGACAUGAAAAAAAAAACGGCGGGAAUAGCGAGACCUCAGAUGCGCGUCAGGGCGCGAGCGCGGUAGUGCUGUGCACGCGCAUUCUCCUAGCACCUGCCCUCAGAGUCUUAAGUACAUUUUUUAACAUGUUUUAUGUUAUAAGCUAACAGAAAAUACAUUGUUUUCUUACUUUUUUAUGUUAAAAAUGUUUUUUGUUAUGAGCAGUAGAAUUUGAUAAGCUUAUAGUAGGAAAAAUAACUUCAUUUAAUCAGUAGUUUCUCAGUUGACAACAAAAGCAUAAAUAGCCUGUAUUGUAUGCUAAUUAUAAAUGACACAUUUGUAUUUGGGACUGUAUUAGGCUAUAAAGCAUAGUUGUAAAAUAUUAGUAUAUAGUUAUUUUUAGUUAUUGUACAUUUAUUUUGAAAUGGAAAAGCUGUUCUAAAUUAGACUCUUAGGUUCCUAAUAAGAUAAUAAAAUAUAGGAUUUUUUUUUAAAAUCGUCAUUAGGUUGUAGCCUAAAUGCUGCACCAGAUUUAAAGAAAAAAAAGUCCCAAAACUGCCGCAUCCAUUGUUUUAGAAAACAAGACAAGCAUUAUGAAAGCAUUAGGAAGUUGACUCAUUUAUUCAGAAUUAUUUAGUACAGUCACUAUUUUUCUCCUCCAAGUUAUUUUCUUUGUGAUUUUUACUCUUUAAAUUGUGCUCUUGAAUGUGCAUAAAAAGAUAAGCCCUCCCUAAGAUACAGGGCUAGGUACCAGUCUAAAUAUUAAUGCUCUUAUUCAAAGCAGCGGAUUUUACUGUUGCAUGACAAGUAAUGUUUUCUGGGUUGUUUGUUUUGGAAAUUGUUCCGUGAUGCUUGUGGUUUGGACGCACUAGGACCCAGAGUAGAAGCAAAUUAAGGGCAACCAUCACAUAAGAGGCUUAGUGCAUCUAAUCUAUACUCCCACAGACAAACACACACACACACACACACACACACACACACACACACACACACACACACACACACACACACACAGCAGGGCACAGCAUUUCGUAAACAUCCCAUUUUGAAACAGGCACGCAUACAUGUCCCACAGGCAAACACCGCCAUUGUAUUUUCAUUUAGUUUUCAUUUUCUCCAAACUCUUUUAUUCCCCUUGUUGACCUUAACUGCCAUCCCACUUUGUUAGAGAACAUUUGCCCAUAUGCUCCACUAUUUCUCUCAUCCCUUUUUCAUUAGUGAACGCCCUUCAAUAAACUAAGAAGCUGAGAGCAAACUCAUCCAUUCUGGACAGCUAUAGUUUAAAAAAAAGAAAGAAAAAUACUCAGAUAUGAAAUCCUCCUCAUCUGUAUGCUCAGCGCUGCUCAGAUGGAUGUCUGAAUGUUUUAAUUCCAAAGGAUAAAAAAAGGAUUUCAAACUGGAAUUGAAAUGAAGUUUCACUCAGUCAUUGCUCAUGAAAUGUUCCCGAGGCUUUUUUACUGACAGAAAAUUUACUCUGUGUGUGUGUGUGUGUGUGUUUGGGCAUGAUGGAGAUGAAAAAAGCUGUUUUUGUGCCAUUUGCAACACGUCAAAGACCAAAAACCAUUAAAUUCAAAAAGGCCUAAAACACACAUACACAUACAUGCACAAACCCUCCACACACACACACACAUUUUCCCCAGCUGUUAAAUACUCUGACAUCAUAUUGUUCGAUACACAGCACAUUUUUGUAUGUCUGUGUACACUCUGUGUGCUUAUAGUGUGCAUGUGUGUGUGUGUGAGACAGUUACACACACAUACACACACGCGCACAGAGUUCAGCCGAUUUAUCAUAAUAUGCUUUAUCUGAAAAGUAAGUAUCUUACCUCGGGAUAAAGGGAGGAAAGAGGGGUUUGUGGCCAGAUUGACAGAGGAAGGGUGGAUGGAGAGAACUGAGCGCUCACUGCACUGGAACGGAGAGCCUGGACCUUAACUUCUGUGGCUGGAUUGAUCAGUUUUGAUAAGGUUCCUGUGCAUGCAAUGCAGCAAUGGGGGUUGAAGAGCCAGCUGGUUUUACCACUGCAGCACUGUUCCCAUCCUGUUGGCAUGGGGUUAAAACAGGCCAUAAGAGUUUAUGUGCCAACGCUUAUACCUUUAUACACAAUCUUAUGUUAUCUAAGAAGUACAGAAAUGCUCCCAUAAAGUAAUUGAAGGCGAGACACUUAAAGCCUAUCAAUGCAACUUAGGACCGUGCUCCAACCACUAGGAGCUUUAACAAGACUAGCAGGGCUUUUUGAUGCUCUCAGUCUAAAUCCUUAAUGUGUCUGCAAACAAAUUGAGAAUCUAGUCUUUAAAUAUCCUUCUUCUCAGUCCUGUAAGCUUUCAAAUGACCUUAAAGUAUUAAUCUUAUCUUUAAAAUGUAUUAUUGGAUGGGCAUUGGUAAAGUUACAUUACAUAGCGCCAGUUCACAACAGCAGUUAUCUCUAUGAGCUUUACACUGUAAGGUAAAGACCCUGAAAUAUCAGAUGUAAAUUCUAAUGAAUGGAACAACCCCCAGACCACUUGGUGACUGUGGGAAAGAAGAGACCUCAGCAGGCUGUGGGGCAGCUGGGGGUGGUAAGGAAACAGGACAGCACCGAGGAGCAAAGAGAGCUCAUAAACAACAAACAAGAUGAAACACAAACUACUGGAAACUGCUGCAGAACAAACACGUGUAUGAUGUGUAACAUCACAUGGCUACCAUAGAGAUAUUGCAACGGUACAGUAUUUGUUUAAGACAAUUUCAGGGCAGUGAAUACUGUGAAACUACUUGGCAGGUAAGUAAAAAAUAUUGUUGUCAAUGAGAGAAUCAGCAUUAUUAAUAAUGUAGGAUCACAGUUUAACUUCUGUAAACUAACAGGAUAUUCAUGUAAUCUGCUUCUAAUAAUAAAGUAAAAGCAUAAACACGC